rnacentral:rRNA from 1 species
UACGUAGGUGGCAAGCGUUAUCCGGAUUUAUUGGGUGUAAAGGGCGUGUAGGCGGGAGCGCAAGUCAGAUGUGAAAACUCAGGGCUCAACCCUGAGCCUGCAUUUGAAACUGUGUUUCUUGAGUGCUGGAGAGGCAAUCGGAAUUCCGUGUGUAGCGGUGAAAUGCGUAGAUAUACGGAGGAACACCAGUGGCGAAGGCGGAUUGCUGGACAGUAACUGACGCUGAGGCGCGAAAGCGUGGGGAUCGAACAGG